rnacentral:rRNA from 1 species
AAUGAACGUUGGCGGUGUGGAUUAGGCAUGCAAGUCGAGCGCGAAAUGUAGCAAUACAUGGAGAGCGGCGAAAGGGAGAGUAAUACAUAGGUACCUACCCCCGGGCCUGGGAUAGCGGCGGGAAACUGCCGGUAAUACCAGAUAAUGUCUCCGGACCAAAGGCUUGAUUCCACCUGGGGAGGGGACUGUGGCCUAUCAGCUAGUUGGCGAGGUAACGGCUCACCAAGGCUAAAACGGGUAUGGGGCGUGAGAGCGUGCCCCCACUCACUGGGACUGAGAACUGCCCAGACACCUACGGGUGGCUGCAGUCGAGAAUCUUCGGCAAUGGGCGAAAGCCUGACCGAGCGACACCGCGUGCGGGAUGAAGGCCUUCGGGUUGUAAACCGCUGUCGUAGGGGAGGAAGGGCCUGCGAAGAGCAGGACUUGACCGAUCCUAGGAGGAAGGGCCGGCUAAUCUCGUGCCAGCAGCCGCAGUAAAAC